AAUUUUGGACAAUGGGCGCAAGCCUGAUCCAGCCAUGCCGCGUGUGUGAAGAAGGCCUUCGGGUUGUAAAGCUCUUUCGGACGGAACGAAAUCUCGUAGGCUAAUACCCUGCGCUUUUGACGUUACCGUCAUAAUAAGCACCGGCUACCUACGUGCCAGCAGCCGCGGUAAUAAGUAGGGUGCAAGCGUUAAUCGGAAUUACUGGGCGUAAAGCGUGCGUAGGUGGUUGGUUAAGUCCGGCGUGAAAGCCCCGGGCUUAACCUGGGAACUGCGUUUGAAACUGGUCAGCUAGAGUACGGUAGAGGGGGGUGGAAUUCCAUGUGUAGCGGUGAAAUGCGUAGAGAUGUGGAGGAACACCAAUGGCGAAGGCAACCCCCUGGGCUGAUACUGACGCUCAUGCACGAAAGCGUGGGUAGCAAACAGG
rnacentral:rRNA from 1 species